GGUCUUCAUAUGCAACAUUGCUGCAGACUGUAAUUUUUGAGUAGGAGCAGAUUAUUUCAGCAUUCUGAAGGGUGAAUCCAUGAAUGAUAGGCAGAGGGAAUCCUUUCCCCAAGUGGACGUUCACGUAUGGCAAGAAGACAGUUUCGAUGAGAGUCCAUAUUACUGGCUGCAAAACAAAAUUUAGAGAAUUUUUUAGAAUUCCAGAGAGGGAACCCAGAAAAUAUUUCCCUAGCAUUCCUCUUCCAACCAUGGGACCAUAUGGAAAGAACAUAAUGCAGAGAAAAAAGGGCAAGGUUUACACAUUUUCAGGAAACUUCAUAGAAAACAAUACCAAUGAAAAUAGUUUCAGAAACUAGCAUUUGAGACAGCUAAAGAAAUGACAUUAUAAAUUGUUCAUGAUGCUCCUAUGUUUUUAUUCAUCUACCAGUCUCCACAAGAACAGGUUCAGGCCAGAAAGGGUGACUAUAGAUCAUGAUCAACUGCCCACGAUAAAUACUAGAAUAAGAUAACGCCUCAUUUCCAAGAUAUCGUUGAUUUGGAAAAAGUUAUAAUAAAAUCAUCUAAUUCAAAAAGCUGUCCAUGCUAUAGAGAUGAGAAAAGCAGUUCUUAGACUAGCUUUUUAAAAUUUCCUGCCGCUUAUGCUUGGAGCACAGUCAGAUGGAUUCUAUGCAUGAAUCUAUCGCUAAAAUGGGAAGAAAGACGACUAUACUUUUUUUUUCUUCUGGGAGUUACAUUCCAAAGAAAAUGGAAUAGCAUGGAUUAUCCCAAGAAUAAUAGCAUACAAUGUUACCAUCCAAAAAUUACAAGCAUCAUCCAACCAAAUCACUAGUUUCUCUGAUUACAUCCUCCGUUGAAAAGUUAAAACUUUUAGCAACUUUAUUUAGUUCACCACUGGUCCCAAAAGAGACCACUGCAAGGAAUAUAAUUCAACCAGGAAAAAGGAACUCAGGAAUGCUCUAAUUUCAGAGAAAAGCAAGAUGGAAUACAAUAAAACAUUCCCGUAUGAGGAAAAAGGUUAUGAAAUAAUGAAUGAAAUAUGAAAUUCACUUUGAGUAAACAUUUUAUUAUUAAGAGUACCUGAAUUAGAAACAUGCGCAAGUUACCAAUUUUGCUCCACUUUAAUGACAUUGUGAAGUCAUUCAAUUUCACACUUCCAGCAAGGUUAUUCCCUGCGAUUUUUACUGACCCUGAGGCAUGAAUUACCUGUACCAAGAAAAAGCAAUAAUGCCAUAUUGAUAAUAAAAUAAAAGUGAAAAAAAAAAAAAAACACAGAAAAUCAUGACCAUCUCUAACUUAAAUUACAGUAAUUUGGUGAAGUCCUGUAGAUGCAUGUGAAGGAACUGAACGAAAAACUGACUACCCGGAAAAACCCAGAUGCUUACUACUAGGAGCUGCCGAAAUUCAAAACUUGAAAUUUAUCAAAAUCUACUUUAUUAUAAUGCAUUGCUUUUAUAUUAGUACAGAUGACAUAAAAAGUUACCCAGAAAAAUCAGGAUUCACCAACUCUUCGAAUACAUGGAAGUAGAAAGAAGCAGCAGGCAAGUUAAACCAUCUCAUGUGGGCACAUUCAGAUUACUAAAGAAAGUAAAUGACCAGUGAAUCCUUAUUGCUUUGAUUUCUUCUUUCUUUCCUUUUUUUUUUCCCCUUCUUUUUCCUCUAGCGAGUAUGGAAGUUGCAGAUUAGUUUUGUGUGUUGUGGGUGGGGGGAGUUUAAGCUUAUGAAAUCAGCAUUACGCUAUUCAGACCCCCACAGUUUACCUAGCUAACAUGAAUAUAACUUCUUCAAUUUGUUCUUUCCAAUUUUCCAAAUAUCCAUGAUUUUUUAUCUAAAAGAUACAGCCACCGUUUUAAUAGUGUUUCCUCCAGACAGAAAUGCAGACUACUAGGGACUAACAGCUACUUUUUCAAAGAUAUUGUAUUCUUAUCUACUAGAAAUCAUAUAUAGAGUAGCAGUUCCCAAUGCCGUGCCAUGGUUGUUCUAAAACACCAUUGGCCUUCCCAGACCUAAUCUCUAUCAUCAUGAUUAUCCUAUUGAUAUUGAUGAUGCAAAUUUUCAAGUAAUCCAUCAAUGACAAGAAAAUAAAUCCACACAAAUUAAAUACAUCAAUCAGCUGUAGAAUGGAAAAAGAAAAUGGUAAGUAAACGAACAAAACAUAAAAGGAGGCCACUAGACUUUGCAAUAAUUCCAUUACUAAGCAUACCAAUGAAAUGCAUGCAACUGGUAUUACUUCCUGAGAUUCCAAAACAUCGAUUAUCAAGUCUGCAUAGACGAUAGCAUCAACAUUAUUCGGGGAAAUCUUUAUCACUGGAGGAGUAGAUAAAGAAAUAUUCAUAUUCAUAUCAUCGUUUGGGUAUUUCUUGUACAGUUGAGGAACAAUAAAUCUCCAGCC
rnacentral:lncRNA from 1 species